UGAGGGAAUAUUUGGGGUCAAUGGGCGAGAGCCUGAACCAGCCAAGUAGCGUGCAGGACGACGGCCCUAUGGGUUGUAAACUGCUUUUAUAUGGGGAUAAAGUGAGUUACGUGUAGCUUAUUGCAGGUACCAUAUGAAUAAGGACCGGCUAAUUCCGUGCCAGCAGCCGCGGUAAUACGGAAGGUCCAGGCGUUAUCCGGAUUUAUUGGGUUUAAAGGGAGCGUAGGCCGUCUUUUAAGCGUGUUGUGAAAUACUGUCGCUCAACGACAGAGGUGCAGCGCGAACUGGGAGACUUGAGUGCGCGGAAUGCAGGCGGAAUUCGUCGUGUAGCGGUGAAAUGCUUAGAUAUGACGAAGAACUCCGAUUGCGAAGGCAGCUUGCAGUAGCGUAACUGACGCUGAAGCUCGAAAGUGCGGGUAUCGAGCAGGAUUAGAUACCCUGGUAGU
rnacentral:rRNA from 1 species